UACGAUGGUCCCGAGCGUUGUUCGGAAUCACUGGGCGUAAAGGGAGCGUAGGCUGCACGGUAAGUCAGAUGUGAAAUCCCGGGGCUCAACCCCGGAACUGCAUCCGAUACUGCCAUGCUAGAGGAUUGGAGAGGUAGCUGGAAUUUACGGUGUAGCAGUGAAAUGCGUAGAUAUCGUAAGGAACACUCGUGGCGAAAGCGAGCUACUGGACAAUUCCUGACGCUGAGGCUCGAAGGCUAGGGUAGCGAAAGGG
rnacentral:rRNA from 1 species